GGUUGUAAAAGCAAUCUGGCUGUGAGAUCUGUCACCCAGUUGAUCACCUGGGUUGAUUAGGCUGAUUUGGCAGGCUACGCGAGUGUCUCCUUCCUCCCUCACUACUCCAUGUGCAUCUGUCCCAAAACUGCAUGCUCAGUCAAAAAGGACAAGCUUCCCCAAAUACAGGAGGACCAGUCUUCCCUGAAGUGUAUAUGAGUAGCUGUGCUCCCCUGCUAGAACUUCCAAACAAGUUCUCAUUACUGGGACAAGCACCUAACAAGAAGAAGCUUAUGAUGAAAGGAUAAAAGUUGCCCUGUUU
rnacentral:snRNA from 1 species